rnacentral:rRNA from 2 species
ACGUUACCCGCAGAAGAAGCACCGGCUAACUCCGUGCCAGCAGCCGCGGUAAUACGGAGGGUGCAAGCGUUAAUCGGAAUUACUGGGCGUAAAGCGCACGCAGGCGGUCUGUCAAGUCGGAUGUGAAAUCCCCGGGCUCAACCUGGGAACUGCAUUCGAAACUGGCAGGCUUGAGUCUUGUAGAGGGGGGUAGAAUUCCAGGUGUAGCGGUGAAAUGCGUAGAGAUCUGGAGGAAUACCGGUGGCGAAGGCGGCCCCCUGGACAAAGACUGACGCUCAGGUGCGAAAGCGU